rnacentral:rRNA from 1 species
GACGAACGCUGGCGGCGUGCCUAAUACAUGCAAGUCGAGCGGAACGGAGGGAGCUUGCUCCUUCCAGUUUAGCGGCGGACGGGUGAGUAACACGUGGGCAACCUGCCCUGCAGAUCGGGAUAACUCCGGGAAACCGGUGCUAAUACCGAAUAGUUUAGCGCCCCUCCUGAGGCGCUACGGAAAGACGGUUUCGGCUGUCACUGCAGGAUGGGCCCGCGGCGCAUUAGCUAGUUGGUGGGGUAACGGCCCACCAAGGCGACGAUGCGUAGCCGACCUGAGAGGGUGACCGGCCACCCUGGGACUGAGACACGGCCCAGACUCCUACGGGAGGCAGCAGUAGGGAAUCUUCCGCAAUGGACGCAAGUCUGACGGAGCAACGCCGCGUGAGUGACGAAGGUUUUCGGAUCGUAAAACUCUGUUGUGAGGGAAGAACACGUACCAACUAACUAUUGGUACCUUGACGGUACCUCACCAGAAAGCCACGGCUAACUACGUGCCAGCAGCCGCAGUAA